CAGUAGCCACGGUAAUACGAAGGGUGCAAGCGUUACUCGGAAUUACUGGGCGUAAAGCGUGCGUAGGUGGUGGUUUAAGUCCGUUGUGAAAGCCCUGGGCUCAACCUGGGAAUUGCAGUGGAUACUGGGUCACUAGAGUGUGGUAGAGGAUAGUGGAAUUUCCGGUGUAGCAGUGAAAUGCGUAGAGAUCGGAAGGAACAUCUGUGGCGAAGGCGACUACCUGGGCCAACACUGACACUGAGGCACGAAAGCGUGGGGAGCGAACAGGAUUAGAUACCCCCGUAGUCCCUGUCUCUUAUAA
rnacentral:rRNA from 1 species